CCAAGCACAAAAAGAAUGUAAUAUACCAGAUUUUGGUAAAGAAAAUAAAGAUAAAUAAAAAUAGUGUGGGAUACUAUUUUUAUUGAAUUUAGAGAAGUAAAACAUAAGUCAGAAUUGACUUGUGCUGAAAUCGGAAUGAAAACAGAAGAUAUAGAAUUUUCUGUUGGAGACGGGACAGAAAAAUAAGCAGAAAAUGCACAGUCUCAGAAAAUUAUGAAAAUUGGCGGAGAUGUCAGAAAUAUUUUUAUGAGGCUAGAUUUAAGGUUUCAUAUUUUUCUGACACCCAUAGAGUGAGAAAUAAAAUCCGAAAGCUAUCUGAUAAAGAUUGCAGUUCGGUACAGUUUUCAGUGACCAAACGGGGUCGAAACUGAACCAGUGAUCGUCAGCUUGUUAAGUUAAGUAAAACCGAACAUGACUGUCAAGUUUGAGCUCAAACGGAGAUUCAGGGAGCUCCGGCGAAAGUUAUCAGAUUUU
rnacentral:lncRNA from 1 species